CAAUAGCGUAUAUUAAAGUUGUUGCAGUUAAAAAGCUCGUAGUUGGAUUUCGGGGUGGCCUGGCUGGUCCGCCGCAAGGUGAGUACUGGUCAGCCGCCCUUCCUCUCGAAAGCCCCGACUGCUCUUUACUGCAGUGGUCGGGUAGUUCGGGACGUUUACUUUGAAAAAAUUAGAGUGUUCAAGGCAGGCUAUCGCCUGAAUACAUUAGCAUGGAAUAAUGGAAGAGGACCUCGGUCCUAUUUUGUCGGUUUCUAGGGCCGAAGUAAUGAUUAAGAGGGACAGUUGGGGGCAUUCGUAUUUAAUUGUCAGAGGUGAAAUUCUUGGAUUUAUGAAAGACGAACUAGUGCGAAAGCAUUUGCCAAGGAUGUUUUCAUUAA
rnacentral:rRNA from 1 species